CAGAAAGAAAAGGCAGUCCAGGGGUCCCAGAGAGCCUGGCACCUGGAAAGGGAUCUCCCUGUCGCCAGCCUGUCCUCCUCCCCCCGCAGAACCCAAGGCGGGCGCUGGUAGCAGGAAGCUGAGGAAGGACCGGGAGGUCGUACUAGCGUAUAUCAAACCACUGGCUCUGCCCCUGGAACUCUGUGUCCUGUUGUCCUCUGUCCCGUUCUGCCAGGCUCUCACUCCAGACAACACGUUCUGCAGUAUGCUGCUUCCACUUGAUUCCCAAACUCCAUCCUAUAAUGCUCACUUCCAGUCUCCCUCCCCCAAGCUCUGAAAGGCAGAGGACAAGGUCAAGGCUAACGCUGCUGUAGUGGUUUCUGCUGGGCUUGGGACUAUCCCUCCAUCCUUCAAUUUCCCCAGCACAUCUCUCUUCCUCCCUAGGCUGGGAGGGGAAAGGGGGGAACCCAGCCCCUAUAGUUCUCUCCAGGAUGAACAAGAGGAAAGGAAUGAGGCAGGUGUGUCUGUCUGCUCCUGCCUACUUACCCCUCCUCCCCCAGAGACACUCACCCACCCGCCUGUAGGGCUGGGUUUUUUUUGGGGGGGAAUGGGUCGAGAAACCCUGUUCUCCACCGAGGCAGUACAACUGGGUGCUUGAGAGGUCCUGAUGCCUUAGGCAUGCCUGGGAGCUGCCGAAACAGAGCAGUUAGAGGACAGGCUGAUGAGAACUAUCUAGUGGGCUCACUCUUCCAUCUGCAGGGCCAACAGAGGUGCAUGUUCCAGAGUCACCCCCAAAAGGGAUGAGGGCAAGGAAAUAUGGGAGGGGUCCUGUGCAAACUGGCCUUUGGAACAAGACUUUGUCUCUGCUUGGUUUGACAAGAUGGAUGCCAUUAGAUGAUCAUUGGAGGCAUCCAGCAAGGUCACUAACUGUAGAACAGAGGGCCUGGAUAUGGUAAACUAUGCUCUGCCUGCGAUCCUUAGGGUCUGUUCUAGAAAAUCAUCAGACUUGAGCCAAAGUGAAUACAAGCAUGAACACAAAUUCCAGCUCAACAGUGUCCUGGUGCAAGUAUAAAAUCAGGGAGGGGUUUUAACCUGCUAAGCGACACCUUGAGCUGUGGCUCUGGGGCAAUGGGGUGGGAGUGGGGGGUUCAGGAAGGCUGCCUACCCACCCACCCCCAGCUUUCCUGCCUGGACUCCAGAGCCCAGCUCCAGACGAUUCUUCUUAAAUGAAACCCAGUUCCUCCCCCGGCUGCCCCAACCUCCGAUCUCUCCUACCAGCCCUUGGUUUCUACUCUCCAAACGCAGAGGCUGCUGCUCUGCUGUUCCUUCAACAGGUCUCGGCAUGUAUAUCACAACGCAGAAGUCUCCCUGGCAGAUAGUUUUAGCGGAAAGGGCCCCAUUCCGCACAAAUCAGCGUAUACCCAGUGCCCUGGUUCAUUUCCCCCAUAACCCCAUAGCACUGCCUGAA